ACACUCCUACGGGAGGCAGCAGUGGGGAAUUUUGGACAAUGGGCGAAAGCCUGAUCCAGCAAUGCCGCGUGAGUGAAGAAGGCCUUCGGGUUGUAAAGCUCUUUUGUCAGGGAAGAAACGGUGAGAGCUAAUAUCUCUUGCUAAUGACGGUACCUGAAGAAUAAGCACCGGCUAACUACGUGCCAGCAGCCGCGGUAAUACGUAGGGUGCAAGCGUUAAUCGGAAUUACUGGGCGUAAAGCGUGCGCAGGCGGUUUUGUAAGUCUGAUGUGAAAUCCCCGGGCUCAACCUGGGAAUUGCAUUGGAGACUGCAAGGCUAGAAUCUGGCAGAGGGGGGUAGAAUUCCACGUGUAGCAGUGAAAUGCGUAGAUAUGUGGAGGAACACCGAUGGCGAAGGCAGCCCCCUGGGUCAAGAUUGACGCUCAUGCACGAAAGCGUGGGGAGCAAACAGGAUUAGAAACCUCUGUAGUCCC
rnacentral:rRNA from 1 species